rnacentral:rRNA from 1 species
AUUGAACGCUGGCGGCAUGCUUUACACAUGCAAGUCGAACGGCAGCGCGGGCUUCGGCCUGGCGGCGAGUGGCGAACGGGUGAGUAAUACAUCGGAACGUGCCCAGUAGUGGGGGAUAGCUCGGCGAAAGCCGGAUUAAUACCGCAUACGACCUGAGGGUGAAAGCGGGGGAUCUUCGGACCUCGCGCUAUUGGAGCGGCCGAUGGCAGAUUAGCUAGUUGGUGGGGUAAAGGCCUACCAAGGCGACGAUCUGUAGCUGGUCUGAGAGGACGACCAGCCACACUGGGACUGAGACACGGCCCGUACUCCUACGGUAGUCAGCAGUGGAGUAUUUUGGACAAUGGGCGAAAGCCUGAUCCAGCAAUGCCGCGUGUGUGAUGAAGGCCUUCGGGUUGUAAAGCACUUUUGGCGGGAACGAAAAGGACUGUGCCAAUACCACGGUUCGAUGACGGUACCCGCAGAAUAAGCACCGGCUAACUACGUG